UCGAGAAUUUUUCACAAUGGGGGAAACCCUGAUGGAGCGACGCCGCGUGGAGGAUGAAGGCCUUCGGGUUGUAAACUCCUGUCAUGCGGGAACAAGAAAGUGAUAGUACCGCAAGAGGAAGAGACGGCUAACUCUGUGCCAGCAGCCGCGGUAAUACAGAGGUCUCAAGCGUUGUUCGGAUUCAUUGGGCGUAAAGGGUGCGUAGGUGGCGAGGUAAGUCUGUUGUGAAAUCUCGGGGCUCAACCCCGAAAUUGCAGCGGAUACUGCUUUGCUCGAGGAUUGUAGAGGAGAGUGGAAUUCACGGUGUAGCAGUGAAAUGCGUAGAUAUCGUGAGGAAGACCAGUUGCGAAGGCGACUCUCUGGGCAAUUCCUGACACUGAGGCACGAAGGCCAGGGGAGCAAACGGGAUUAGAUACCCCCGUAGUCC
rnacentral:rRNA from 1 species